ACUGCCAUUGAUACUGUACAUCUUGAACUUCGUCGAAGUGGGCGGAAUAUGUCAUGUAGCGCUGAAAUGCUUAGAUAUGACAUAGAACACCGAUAGCGAAGGCAGCUCACUAGGCCUGGAUUGACGCUCAAGGACGAAAGCGUGGGUAGCGAACAGGAUUAGAUACCCUGGUAGUCCACGCCGUAAACUAUCAAUACUCGUUUUCGGCGAUAUACAGUCGGAGACUAAGCGAAAGUGAUAAGUAUUGCACCUGGGGAGUACGAUCGCAAGGUUGAAACUCAAAGGAAUUGACGGGGGCCCGCACAAGCGGUGGAGCAUGUGGUUUAAUUCGAUGAUACGCGAGGAACCUUACCAGGGCUUAAAUGUACAGGGAAUAUAUUGGAAACAGUAUAGCCUUCGGGCCGUCUACAAGGUGCUGCAUGGCUGUCGUCCGCUCGUGCCGUGAGGUGUUGGGUUAAUUCCCGCAACGAGCGCAACCCCUAUCUUUAGUUGCUAGCACGUAAUGCUGAGGACCCCAAAGAAACUGCCUACCCAACUAGUGAGGAAGGCGGGGACGACCCCAAGUCAUCACGGCCCUUACCUCCUGGGCCACACACGUGCUACAAUGCUAAAUACAUCGCGCACCCACCCC
rnacentral:rRNA from 1 species